rnacentral:rRNA from 1 species
CGUAGGGUGCAGGCGUUAAUCGGAAUUACUGGGCGUAAAGCGUGCGCAGGCGGUUUGCUAAGACAGGUGUGAAAUCCCCGGGCUUAACCUGGGAACUGCGCUUGUUACUGGCAGGCUUGAGUGUGGCAGAGGGGGGUGGAAUUCCACGUGUAGCAGUGAAAUGCGUAGAGAUGUGGAGGAACACCGAUGGCGAAGGCAGCCCCCUGGGCUAACACUGACGCUCAUGCACGAAAGCGUGGGGAGCAAACAGGAUUAGAUACCCUGGUAGUCCACGCCCUAAACUAUGUCAACUGGUUGUCGGGGAAGCAAUUCCUUGGUAACGAAGCUAACGCGUGAAGUUGACCGCCUGGGGAGUACGGCCGCAAGGUUA